rnacentral:rRNA from 1 species
GUGGGGAAUCUUCCGCAAUGGACGAAAGUCUGACGGAGCAACGCCGCGUGAGUGAUGAAGGUCUUCGGAUUGUAAAGCUCUGUUAAUCGGGACGAAAGAGCCUAGUGUGAAUAAUGCUAGGAAGUGACGGUACCGGAAUAGAAAGCCACGGCUAACUACGUGCCAGCAGCCGCGGUAAUACGUAGGUGGCAAGCGUUGUCCGGAAUUAUUGGGCGUAAAGCGCGCGCAGGCGGAUCUGCCAGUCUGUCUUAAAAGUUCGGGGCUUAACCCCGUGAUGGGAUUGAAACUACAGAUCUAGAGUAUCGGAGAGGAAAGUGGAAUUCCUAGUGUAGCGGUGAAAUGCGUAGAUAUUAGGAAGAACACCAGUGGCGAAGGCGACUUUCUGGACGAAAACUGACGCUGAGGCGCGAAAGCCAGGGGAGCGAACGGGAUUAGAAACCCUGGUAGUCC